rnacentral:lncRNA from 1 species
CAUUCGGAUCACCAACGCUGUGACCUCGCUGUGUGAACGGGAGCUACUACAGGAAGGAAGCUUACAAAUGAGCUGCAUGGAUCCCACAUUUUGCUAAAAUCAAAUAGGACCUUUCUCCUCUUUGUUGAAUGCCGUAAUACACAAGAAAUAAGCCAGCAGGAUGCUCAUGUCCAAGGUUUCCCUUUAUCUACCACACGAGUUGGCAUGAAACAACUUCUGGGGUUCAAAUCUUCUGAACAAUGAUACAAGUCUUGGCAAAUUUCAAGAAUAAUUUAAAGAGGAAAUAAAUAGCUUUUUGUUUAACUUGGAUCAAUUAUCUCCUAUUGCUCCCAGCUUCAUGCCAGGUACUCUCCACUGUGCCUGGGAA